UUUGGUGUGGCACGAGCGAACAUGUUUCGCGAAGUGAUUGGAAGUGGUUCCAAGAAAAGCCUCUAAGCUUCAGCUGUACGAGACCGUACCGCAAACCGACACAGGUGGACGGGAUGAAUAUUCCAAGGCGCUUGAGAGAACUCGGGAGAAGGAACUCGGCAAAUUGAUACCGUAACUUCGGGAGAAGGUAUGCCCCGGUAGUGUGAGGCGCCUGCGCGCUGAGCAUGAUGGGGUCGCAGAGAAUCGGUGGCUGCGACUGUUUAUUAAAAACACAGCACUCUGCAAAGACGAAAGUCGACGUAUAGGGUGUGACGCCUGCCCGGUGCCGGAAGGUUAAGUGAUGGGGUGCAAGCUCUUGAUCGAAGCCCCGGUAAACGGCGGCCGUAACAAUAACGGUCCUAAGGUAGCGAAAUUCCUUGUCGGCUAAGUUCCGACCUGCACGAAUGGCGUAACGAUGGCCACACUGUCUCCUCCCGAGACUCAGCGAAGUUGAAGUGUUUGUGAUGAUGCAAUCUACCCGCGGCUAGACGGAAAGACCCCAUGAACCUUUACUGUAGCUUUGCAUUGGACUGUGAACCGGCCUGUGUAGGAUAGGUGGGAGGCGCUGAAACCGAGUCGCCAGAUUCGGUGGAGCCAACCUUGAAAUACCACCCUGGUUUGUUUGCGGUUCUAACCUUGGUCCGUUAUCCGGAUUGGGGACAGUGCAUGGUGGGCAGUUUGACUGGGGCGGUCUCCUCCCAAAGCGUAACGGAGGAGUUCGAAGGUACGCUAGGUACGGUCGGAAAUCGUGCUGAUAGUGCAAUGGCAUAAGCGUGCUUGACUGUGAGACUGACAAGUCGAACAGGUGCGAAAGCAGGACAUAGUGAUCCGGUGGUUCUGAAUGGAAGGGCCAUCGCUCAACGGAUAAAAGGUACUCUGGGGAUAACAGGCUGAUACCGCCCAAGAGUUCAUAUCGACGGCGGUGUUUGGCACCUCGAUGUCGGCUCAUCUCAUCCUGGGGCUGUAGCCGGUCCCAAGGGUAUGGCUGUUCGCCAUUUAAAGAGGUACGUGAGCUGGGUUUAAAACGUCGUGAGACAGUUUGGUCCCUGUCUGCCGUGGGCGUUGGAUACUUGACGGAGCCUGCUCCUAGUACGAGAGGACCGGAGUGGACGUACCUCUGGUGUACCGGUUGUCAUGCCAAUGGCAUUGCCGGGUAGCUAUGUACGGAAGAGAUAACCGCUGAAGGCAUCUAAGCGGGAAACUCGUCUGAAGAUUAGGUAUCCCGGGGCCUCGAGCCCCCUGAAGGGUCGUUCAAGACCAGGACGUUGAUAGGUCAGGUGUGGAAGCGCAGUAAUGCGUUAAGCUAACUGAUACUAAUUGCCCGUGCGGCUUGAUCCC
rnacentral:rRNA from 1 species